ACCUGAUCUAGCCAUGCCGCGUGAGUGAUGAAGGCCUUAGGGUCGUAAAGCUCUUUCGCUGGGGAAGAUAAUGACGGUACCCAGUAAAGAAACCCCGGCUAACUCCGUGCCAGCAGCCGCGGUAAUACGGAGGGGGUUAGCGUUGUUCGGAAUUACUGGGCGUAAAGCGCGCGUAGGCGGAUCAGAAAGUUGGGGGUGAAAUCCCGGGGCUCAACCUCGGAACUGCCUCCAAAACUCCUGGUCUUGAGUUCGAGAGAGGUGAGUGGAACUCCGAGUGUAGAGGUGAAAUUCGUAGAUAUUCGGAAGAACACCAGUGGCGAAGGCGGCUCACUGGCUCGAUACUGACGCUGAGGUGCGAAAGUGUGGGGAGCAAACAGGAUUAGAUACCCUGGUAGUCCACACCGUAAACGAUGAAUGCCAGUCGUCGGGUAGCAUGCUAUUCGGUGACACACCUAACGGAUUAAGCAUUCCGCCUGGGGAGUACGGUCGCAAGAUUAAAACUCA
rnacentral:rRNA from 1 species